rnacentral:rRNA from 1 species
GACGGGGGGUCCAAGCGUUGUUCGGAAUCAUUGGGCGUAAAGCGGGCGUGGGUGGCCAUGUAAGUCAGGAGUGAAAGCCCUGGGCUCAACCCAGGAAGUGCUUUUGAUACUGCAUGGCUUGAAUGUGGGAGAGGGUAGUGGAAUUCCAGGUGUAGUGGUGAAAUACGUAGAUAUCUGGAGGAACACCGGUGGCGAAGGCGGCUACCUGGCCCAACAUUGACACUGAGGCCCGAAAGCGUGGGGAUCAAACAGG